rnacentral:rRNA from 1 species
GCAUAACGCGAAGAACCUUACCAGGCCUUGACAUGCAGAGAACUUUCCAGAGAUGGAUUGGUGCCUUCGGGAACUCUGACACAGGUGCUGCAUGGCUGUCGUCAGCUCGUGUCGUGAGAUGUUGGGUUAAGUCCCGUAACGAGCGCAACCCUGUCCUUAGUUACCAGCACGUUAUGGUGGGCACGUCUAAGGAGACUGCCGGUGACAAACCGGAGGAAGGUGGGGAUGACGUCAAGUCAUCGAUGGCCCUUACGGCCUGGGCUACACACGUGCUACAAUGGUCGGUACAGAGGGUUGCCAAGCCGCGAGGUGGAGCUAAUCUCACAAAACCGAUCGUAGUCCGGAUCGCAGUCUGCAACUCGACUGCGUGAAGUCGGAAUCGCUAGUAAUCGCGAAUCAGAAUGUCGCGGUGAAUACGUU